CCAGAUGGCUGGGUGAUCGCGGAUGGCGCAAGCUAUCCGAGGAAAGUCCGGGCUUCAUAGAGACAGGGUGCCGGAUAAUGCCCGGCGGGCGCAAGCUCAGGGAAAGUGCCACAGAAAGGAAACCGCCGCUUUGGCUUCGGCUAGAUCGGUAAGGAUGAAAGGGUGCGGUAAGAGCGCACCGCUUGGCUGGCAACAGACAAGGCAUGGUAAACCCCACUCGAAGCAAAACCAAAUAGGGAUGACAUAUGGCGGGUCUUUGCGCUGUCAUCCGGGUCGGUUGCAUGAGGUGUCUGGCAACAGGCAUCCCAGAUGAAUGAUCGCCUCUCCUGACCUCGCGUCAGGAAGACAGAACCCGGCUUACAGGCCAUCUGGUCCA
rnacentral:RNase_P_RNA from 1 species